ACUGUCACCACUUAUAAAGACAAACAGAGGCAGACUGGGCAGGAGGCAGCAAUGCUGUGAAGUAAGGGCUCAAUUGCAAUUCUCCAGCAGCAGCACCGUGCUGUGCAUAAGUCAGCUCCCACUUACCGACAUGAAGAGACUUCUCCCCACGGCUGGACGGCGAGCUACAGAAAAGAGCAGGGAGAGAUUGAACCAGCUCACAGGCUCACGGAGCUGACUCCACGCAACCAGGAGGAGGUCCCUUGAUGCUCUCAGUAAAGGCCUCAAAGCUGUGUUGAAUGAACAAUGUGCAAUGGAAGAAUUUUCAGCCUCAUGAGGAUAGCUUGACUGAAGACGUAUGAGGUGCUGAAUCCAGAUUGGCUCACAUGGUUGCAGCCUCCAUCUAGAAUGUGAUUUUCAGGGAUAUAACUGGGCUUUGUGCUGAAAUAAGUCUUCAGUAGUUUAUACAAUGGAAAAAGACUCUAAGACCAUCAGACAUAGGAGCAAAAGUCGGCCAUUCAGCCCAUCAAGUCUCUUCGGUUAUUCAAUGAGAUUAUGACUGACCUAAUAAUUUUCAACUCCAUCUUGCUGCCUUUUCAUCAUAAUCCUUGAUUCAUUUAUGGUUGACCUUCAGCCAGUAGGAAACCGAUAGGUAACCCUUGUUUGUAAAAUUAAUUACUGCAGAACCUUACCUGUUAGAAAAGGAAGAUCUUGGUUUUGACUCCCAAAUUCAAUCUGGUAAAUUUGUCAGGUCAGAGGGAGAAGUGGUACAAUCAGCUUUAAGGACACUGGGUUAGGCUUUCAUUUUGAUUAGAUUCAGUGAUCACUGCUGUAACAUUUUCAUGUUAGAAGAGGACAGGAAUUGGUUUCAUUGUAAUCUGUCAAUGGUAAAACUGUCAGCCAUGCCUCCCUUUCAAAGUUAACAUCAGAAGAUUGACCUCUUAGGCUAAGUGCCAGAAGGAAAUCAUAAACUGGUCAGUACUUCAGCUAAUAGUAAACUUCCUUCUGGAGAAUACACAUUUUUUAAAGUUAUAUUACCAAACAACAAUUGUAGAAA